AGAGUCGAUUGGACAGUCGCUGCCUCGUGCUGUUUACAGUGCGGGGGGGAGGAAAGUCCGGGCUCCAUAGGGCGGAGUGCCAGGUAACGCCUGGGAGGCGUGAGCCUACGGAAAGUGCCACAGAAAAUAACCGCCUAAGCGCGCAAGCGCCGGUAAGGGUGAAAAGGUGCGGUAAGAGCGCACCGCGCGACUGGUAACAGUUCGUGGGUUGCUAGACCUUAUAGGGUUCCAUUGGCGUGGCCCGCUCUGGAAUCGGGUAUGUUGCUAAAGGCGUGCAGUGAUGUACGCCGUAGAGGAAUGACUGUCCUCGACAGAACCCGGCUUACAGAUCGACUCUCCAC
rnacentral:RNase_P_RNA from 1 species